AGGUCAAGCAAAAAAGGCACAGGGCGGAUGCCUUGGCACUAAGGGCCGAAGAAAGACGCGACAAGCUGCGAAAAGCUGCGGGGAGGGGCACAUGCCCGUUGAUCCGCAGGUGUCUGAAUGGGGGAACCCACACGGGGCGCACCCCGUGUAUCCAUGCGUGAAUCCAUAGCGUAUGGAGGGGAACCCGGCGAACUGAAACAUCUAAGUAGCCGGAGGAAAAGGAAGAAACAUCGAUUCCGGGAGUAGCGGCGAGCGGAACCGGAAGAGCCCAAACCGCGGCGCGGGCGCCGCGGGGUUCGGGCCCGCAGGAAUGACUGCAAAUCCUAGCAGAACGGUUUUGGGAAAGCCGGCCAGAGAGGGUGAAAGCCCCGUAAGCGGAAGGAAGCGCGGCAGAGCGGGUACCAGAGUACGCCGGGACACGAGAAACCCUGGCGGAACAAGCGGGGACCACCCCGUAAGGCGAAAUACCCUUAGUGACCGAUAGCGCAUAGUACUGUGAAGGAAAGGUGAAAAGGACCCCGGGAGGGGAGUGAAAGAGAACCUGAAACCCUGUGUCCAUAAACUGUGGGAGCGCCGCAUGUGCGCGACCGCGUACUUUUUGUAGAACGGUCCGGCGAGCUGCGCAUGCCGGCAAGGUUAAGGGCGAAAAAGCCCGGAGCCGCAGGGAAACCGAGCCUUAAGAGGGCGGUUGAGUCGGCAGGCGCAGGCCCGAAACCGGGUGAUCUACCCAUCCCCAGGCUGAAGACGCCGUAAAAGGCGUUGGAGGGCCGCACCCACAUCCGUUGAAAAGGGUGGGGAUGAGGGGUGGGUAGCGGAGAAAUUCCAAUCGAACCCGGAGAUAGCUGGUUCUCCCCGAAAUAGCUUUAGGGCUAGCCCUGCACAAGUCCCGUGGAGGUAGAGCACUGGAUUCCCGCGGGGGCGUCAAAGCCUACCAAAGGAUACCAAACUCCGAAUGCCACAGGGACGGUGUGCGGGAGUCAGGCUGCACGAGAUAAGUUGGGCAGCCAAAAGGGAAAGAGCCCAGACCGCCGGCUAAGGCCCCAAAGUGCGUGUUAAGUGGGAAAGGAUGUGGGGGUUCAAAGACAGCUAGGACGUUGGCUCAGAAGCAGCCAUGCAUUCAAAGAGUGCGUAACAGCUCACUAGCCGAGAGCCCCUGCGCCGAAAAUGUCCGGGGCUCAAACACGCCGCCGAAGCCGCGGGGCAUAUGCGAAUGCAUAGGCCGGUAGGGGAGCAUCCCUGCAGCAAAGAAGCCGUACCGGAAGGGGCGGUGGAGGUGCAGGGAGGGAGAAUGCCGGAAUGAGUAGCGAGAGGGAGGUGGGAAUCCUCCCGGCCGAAUAUCCAAGGGUUCCAGGGUAAAGCUUGUCUUCCCUGGGGGAGUCGGGGCCUAAGGCGAGGCAGGGAUGCGUAGCCGAUGGGGAACAGGCGGAGAUUCCUGUACCGCAUAUGGGCAGAACUUGCGGGGACGCGGGCGGUAGAUGCAGGCCGGGGGUGGAAAGCCCGGUACAAGCGCAGUAGGCUGCAUGUGGUGAAAGCCGCAUGCGAAAGGCCAAAGGCGUGACGUGGAGCGAAACAAAAGUAGCGAAGUGCAGAAGCCGCCUGCCGAGAAAAGCCGCUAUAGCCCCAUAUGCGCCCGUACCGUAGACCGACACAGGUGGAUGGGGAGAGGAUCCCAAGGCCGGCGGGGGAAGCAUUGCCAAGGAACUCGGCAAAAUGGCCCCGUAACUUCGGGAGAAGGGGCGCCAGGGGAAACCCUGGCCGCAGGGAAGAGGCCCAAGCAACUGUUUAGCAAAAACACAGGCCUAUGCGAAACCGCAAGGUGAGGUAUAUGGGCUGACGCCUGCCCGGUGCUGGAAGGUUAAGAGGAGGGGUCAGCGCAAGCGAAGCCCUGAAUUGAAGCCCCAGUAAACGGCGGCCGUAACUAUAACGGUCCUAAGGUAGCGAAAUUCCUUGUCGGGUAAGUUCCGACCCG
rnacentral:rRNA from 1 species